ACGAGCAACUGGCUGAAUUUCUUGAGGAGCCUUUGGACCACCAUCAGUGCCAUCUUCCCAUCCUGACAUAGCUCAAGGACGUCACAGUAGACAUAGGUCAAGCCCUCAAGCUUCUGAAGGGGUCUCACCAGAGAAGAUUUGUUAACCCCACUGGAUAAGUUUUUACUAUGCUGUCCAGGCCGGUCUGGAACCAUCAAUUUUCCUGCCUCAGCCUCCUCAGAGCUGGGAUUAUAAGUGUGCACUUGUAAUGUAACCAACCGUCUUAUUAAAUAAGAAACACAGAACCAAUGCAAAGAGGAAAGCCAAGAGAUCAGAGACUUUCUGUUCUGCCUUCUCAUUGGUUGUAAACCCAACCACAUGACUGCCUCGUCACUGCCUGUCUGUACAGACCUCCAGACACAUUGGAGCAUGUGUCUCCAAUGCUGGCUGUAUCCUU